rnacentral:rRNA from 1 species
GUUUGAUCCUGGCUCAGAUUGAACGCUGGCGGCAUGCCUUACACAUGCAAGUCGAACGGUAACAGGUCUUCGGAUGCUGACGAGUGGCGAACGGGUGAGUAAUACAUCGGAACGUGCCCGAUCGUGGGGGAUAACGAAGCGAAAGCUUUGCUAAUACCGCAUACGAUCUACGGAUGAAAGCAGGGGACCGCAAGGCCUUGCGCGAACGGAGCGGCCGAUGGCAGAUUAGGUAGUUGGUGGGAUAAAAGCUUACCAAGCCGACGAUCUGUAGCUGGUCUGAGAGGACGACCAGCCACACUGGGACUGAGACACGGCCCAGACUACUACGGGAGGCAGCAGUGGGGAA